rnacentral:rRNA from 1 species
CAGUCGCCACGGGAAUACGGAGGGUGCAAGCGUUAAUCGGAAUUACUGGGCGUAAAGCGCACGCAGGCGGUUUGUUAAGUCAGAUGUGAAAUCCCCGAGCUUAACUUGGGAACUGCAUUUGAAACUGGCAAGCUAGAGUCUUGUAGAGGGGGGUAGAAUUCCAGGUGUAGCGGUGAAAUGCGUAGAGAUCUGGAGGAAUACCGGUGGCGAAGGCGGCCCCCUGGACAAAGACUGACGCUCAGGUGCGAAAGCGUGGGGAGCAAACAGGAUUAGAUACCCGCGUAGUCCCUGUCUCUUAUAC